UAUAUUUCUUCCCCCCUUUCCUUUGGCAUUUUUCCCCGUGCUUUUUUUCGUUUUAACCGGGGGAACUAAGCAUAUCAAUAAGCGGAGGAAAAGAAACCAACAGGGAUUGCCCUAGUAACGGCGAGUGAAGCGGCAACAGCUCAAAUUUGAAAUCUGGCUCUCGGGCCCGAGUUGUAAUUUGUAGAGGAUGCUUUUGAUGCGGUGCCUUCCGAGUUCCCUGGAACGGGACGCCAUAGAGGGUGAGAGCCCCGUCUGGUUGGAUGCCAAAUCUCUGUAAAGCUCCUUCAACGAGUCGAGUAGUUUGGGAAUGCUGCUCUAAAUGGGAGGUAUAUGUCUUCUAAAGCUAAAUACCGGCCAGAGACCGAUAGCGCACAAGUAGAGUGAUCGAAAGAUGAAAAGCACUUUGAAAAGAGAGUUAAAAAGUACGUGAAAUUGUUGAAAGGGAAGCGUUUAUGACCAGACUUGGGCUUGGUUAAUCAUCUGGGGUUCUCCCCAGUGCACUUUUCCAGUCCAGGCCAGCAUCAGUUUUCCCCGGGGGAUAAAGGCGGCGGGAAUGUGGCUCUCUUCGGGGAGUGUUAUAGCCCGCCGUGUAAUACCCUGGGGGGGACUGAGGUUCGCGCAUCUGCAAGGAUGCUGGCGUAAUGGUCAUCAACGACCCGUCUUGAAACACGGACCAAGGAGUCGUCUUCGUAUGCGAGUGUUCGGGUGUCAAACCCCUACGCGUAAUGAAAGUGAACGCAGGUGAGAGCUUCGGCGCAUCAUCGACCGAUCCUGAUGUUCUCGGAUGGAUUUGAGUAAGAGCAUACGGGGCCGGACCCGAAAGAAGGUGAACUAUGCCUGUAUAGGGUGAAGCCAGAGGAAACUCUGGUGGAGGCUCGCAGCGGUUCUGACGUGCAAAUCGAUCGUCAAAUAUGGGCAUGGGGGCGAAAGACUAAUCGAACUUCAAGGCC
rnacentral:rRNA from 1 species